rnacentral:lncRNA from 1 species
GCUUGCCUGAAUAGGCCUCAAGUGGAUUCCCCCUCAUCUGUCUGUCAGCUAGGAUCCAAUGACAAUGACACCUACCAACCUGUGACUUUUCUGCAUGGCCUGGACUUCCUCACAGCAUGGCAGCAGGAUUCCUAGAAAGCUGUGUCACCUCAUAUGACCAAGCCUUCAGAGUCACAUGCUGCCACUUCCUGCCAGAGCCAGAAAUUUACCCCACUUGAAUUAGAAGACAGACCCACCUCUCAAUGAGGAAAGUAUCAACGUCAUGUUUAAAUGAGAAAAUAUGGGAGAGUACAUUUCGUUGUAGCCCUCAAAAACAAAAUAAAAUAAAAUUAGCUCUCUUGUAGCCCAGGCUAGCACUGAACUCACUAUGUAGUUCAGGAUGACCUUAAAGUUCUGGCCCUCUACUCCUUGCUCUAUCUGCUCCAGUUACAGUUGUGCACCACUGUGCCUGACUUCUACAGUGCUGGGAUUCAAACCUAAGGCUUUAUGCCUGUUAACAUAAGCACUUAACCAAAAAAGCUACAAUCUUAGCCCUUGUUACGGCAUCUUAAAUAACACCACUCAUCUGUAGCAUGAGACAGUAAUGCUCAAAAUUCAGGUGUGGUUCAGUAAGAUUCAGCUCUGUGGAAUAUACACAGAGAGCCUAGGACAGAUCAGACACCUCACUGUACCUGUGGCUGGCUGUCCUCGCUCUAUCUGCUCCAAGACCAAAUAGUAAUCACGGUCCUGCAGAGUGGGCCCAUGUCUCCCCCUAACUUGUCCUUACAGCAAACUGAAGAAAGAUGCCCAACAAAUGUGCCCAUUUUCAUAGAUGACAAAACCAAGCUCUUUCCCUGUGUGUAGAAAAGACAGGAGCGUCAAUGACAGUGUCUCUGUCCCCUUCCUCCAAGGGCAGAGAUCCAAGGAGGGCCACACUCCCCAGACUGUACACAUGCAUUCCUUGCUAAGCAGAGGCCCAGCCACACACAGCUGAUGUCAAGUCCCUACCUCUGUCCCCCUGAGGAGCUGGCAAAAAGCAGCAGACCAUGUUCUCUGCCACACUGGGUCAACUAGGAAACCAGAUAAAAGAAAAAGAAAAAGAAAACAGAUGUAGUGGACCAAGAUGACUAAGGUGGCUCACUGGUAACAAUGCCUGCUUUGGAGAUGUGACAUAGCCUCCCAAGCCCACCACAGCCUACAGUCAACAAAGCACUCCUCCUUCAUCCUAAGAACAACAUCGUUAGGGCUGCAGGGGUAGGUGUCACUGUGUCCAUUUUACAUAUAGGAAAUCUGAGGCUCACAGUGCAUAGUUAUCUGCUUAGAGAUACACAGACAGGCGAGAGUGACAGGCUUGGGACUGAACCCGUGCUCUCGGAGGUCCCCUAAUUUUUCUUCAGGGUUGUUUGGCAACAUAUGGAAUCUGCUAGGCAGACCCCUGACGAUGGGUGGACAGCACGCAGAGCUUUCUAGAGGCUGACGCCCCAAACUCUCCCUUUCACCUCAGGCUGCCCUGGGCCAUUCUUGGCCCAUUACUGCCCCCGUGUGGACUCAUACCUUGUAUCCUUGCAAAUGGACAUGCAGAGCCAUGGAGUGUCCUGUGCCAGCCUGAAGUGAGGACAGAGAGAAUGAGUUGUUCAAGGUCCCAAGUGAGACGCUGGGGAGUGCCCUGCCUCAACAAUGAGGCUCAAGGACUGAGAGGAGGCCUUGGUUCUCCCUACCAAGAAGGCCAGUUCUCUUUGUAAUUAUUUGUAAGUCAAAUAAUUCUGGAAGGGAGGUAUCUGUUUAUUGAGUCCUUGACUAUCCUGUGUUCCAUGCCGCUAAAGAAACCAACGAGAUGACUGUCCCCAUGGACAGAUGGCUCUGAGGCUUGAGAGAAGCGACCUUACUAGAUUCCCUGUCCUUAAAGCUUUGAGUUGUCACAGGAUUGGGGGACACUCCUGGCAUUCAGAAGACAGUCGAGGUUAGCAUACACCUGAAAUCCAGGACACUGGACACGCCCAGUAGUGAAGCUGCUCACUGUGAAUGCCAGCUGAGGAAACCCUGCUCUGGAUUCAAGGGUUGGGCAGGGGAAUGAUUGCUUGUUGGUUGAGACAGGGUCUCAAUACAUAACUUAGGCUGGUCCCAAAGUUGCAGCUCUGCCUCAGCUUCCCAAGUGCUGGGAUUACAGGCUUGCACCACCAUGCCCCCCACUACAUCCAAGUCUUGUUCAGUCCCUUCCUCCUUUCAGCCUGUGCCUUCUUGGCCUCCAGGGUUGCCUUGAAAGGACAGAUGCCAGAAAAUGGAGAGAGGAUGGGACCAAGGACAGGAAGGAUAGGCCUUUUCUGAGCAGGAAGAUGGACUUUUAGGUAGGUUUAUGGUUAAAAACAUGAAAUACCGCUCAGUUGGGGAAGAUGGAAGGGCUCUGUGACUGGGUUUUGGUGACAAGAUGCAACAUUGAGAAUGUACUAAUGCCACUGAAUUGUAUGUACCCUUCAAAAUUGCUUGUUUUUUUAUGUAUAUUUUACCACAAUAAAAACAAACAAAAACC